rnacentral:rRNA from 1 species
CCUACGGGGGGCAGCAGUGGGGAAUAUUGGACAAUGGGCGAAAGCCUGAUCCAGCCAUGCCGCGUGUGUGAAGAAGGCCUUCGGGUUGUAAAGCACUUUCAGUGGGGAAGAAAGCCUUGGGGCUAAUACCCUCGAGGAAGGACAUCACCCACAGAAGAAGCACCGGCUAACUCCGUGCCAGCAGCCGCGGUAAUACGGAGGGUGCGAGCGUUAAUCGGAAUUUCUGGGCGUAAAGCGCGCGUAGGCGGUCUGAUAAGCCGGUUGUGAAAGCCCCGGGCUCAACCUGGGAACGGCAUCCGGAACUGUCAGGCUAGAGUGCAGGAGAGGAAGGUAGAAUUCCCGGUGUAGCGGUGAAAUGCGUAGAGAUCGGGAGGAAUACCAGUGGCGAAGGCGGCCUUCUGGACUGACACUGACGCUGAGGUGCGAAAGCGUGGGUAGCAAACAGGAUUAGAUACCCGUGUAGUC